GAGUUUGAUCCUGGCUCAGGAUAAACGCUGGCGGCGCACAUAAGACAUGCAAGUCGAACGAACUUAACCAUUAGUUUACUAUUGGAGCGGUUAGUGGCGGACUGGUGAGUAACACGUAAGCAACCUGCCUAUCAGAGGGGAACAACAGUUAGAAAUGACUGCUAAUACCGCAUAUGCCUUAGAAUCACAUGGUUCAAAAGGGAAAGGAGCGAUCCGCUGAUAGAUGGGCUUGCGUCUGAUUAGCUAGUUGGUGGGGUAACGGCCUACCAAGGCGACGAUCAGUAGCCGAACUGAGAGGUUGAACGGCCACAUUGGGACUGAGAUACGGCCCAGACUCCUACGGGAGGCAGCAGUCGGGAAUAUUGCGCAAUGGAGGAAACUCUGACGCAGUGACGCCGCGUGCAGGAAGAAGGUUUUCGGAUUGUAAACUGCUUUAGACAGGGAAGAACAAAGACAGUACCUGUAGAAUAAGCUCCGGCUAACUACGUGCCAGCAGCCGCGGUAAUUC
rnacentral:rRNA from 1 species